AUUGAAUGCUGGCGGCAGGCUUAACACAUGCAAGUCGAGCGGGGGAAGGUAGCUUGCUACCGGACCUAGCGGCGGACGGGUGAGUAAUGCUUAGGAAUCUGCCUAUUAGUGGGGGACAACAUCUCGAAAGGGAUGCUAAUACCGCAUACGUCCUACGGGAGAAAGCAGGGGAUCUUCGGACCUUGCGCUAAUAGAUGAGCCUAAGUCGGAUUAGCUAGUUGGUGGGGUAAAGGCCUACCAAGGCGACGAUCUGUAGCGGGUCUGAGAGGAUGAUCCGCCACACGGGGACUGGGACGCGGCCCGGACUCCUACGGGAGGCAGCAGUGGGGAAUAUUGGACAAUGGGCGGAGGCCUGAUCCAGCCAUGCCGCGUGUGUGAAGAAGGCCUUAUGGUUGUAAAGCACUUUAAGCGAGGAGGAGGCUACUUUAGUUAAUACCUAGAGAUAGUGGACGUUACUCGCAGAAUAAGCACCGGCUAACUCUGUGCCAGCCGCCGCCGUAA
rnacentral:rRNA from 1 species